CAGUCGCCGCGGUAAUACGGAGGGAGCUAGCGUUAAUCGGAAUUACUGGGCGUAAAGCGUGCGUAGGCGGUUCGUUAAGUCUGUUGUGAAAGCCCCGGGCUCAACCUGGGAAUGGCAAUGGAUACUGGCGAGCUAGAGUGUGUCAGAGGAUGGUGGAAUUCCCGGUGUAGCGGUGAAAUGCGUAGAGAUCGGGAGGAACAUCAGUGGCGAAGGCGGCCAUCUGGGACAACACUGACGCUGAGGCACGAAAGCGUGGGGAGCAAACAGGAUUAGAUACCCCCGUAGUCCCUGUCUCUUAUAA
rnacentral:rRNA from 1 species